UUGAAAAGCAGUAUUUGAUCGCCUCACAGAUCUUUGACCACUGCUUUUCAAGACAGAGAAUUACUGGAGUAAGAAAAAUGAAGUUGACAUACUGCGAUACAUUAACAGAUGUAUGCUACUCUUUCCCUGUGCCUGCUGCUACAUUGCUUUAGAAAGCCUGCAUUGUCACUGCAUUGGCUCUGCAUCGCCUUGGCAGGCCGGACUCUCGCCUGGGACGUGGGAAAGCAGUGCCUGGGGCCAGGCGCUCAGGCAGCGGGGCGGCUGGGGCCGAGGCUGCGGAAUCGGCGCUUCCCUCGCAGCCCCUGCCCGUGGCCGACUUCAACUGUCCAGGGUCCUGAAGUCACCAGCGGGCUGGGCGCGCUUCUGCACACUGCGCCCGUCCUCGCAUGACUCUGCUAGUGAUGUG
rnacentral:lncRNA from 1 species